GGCAGUGUGGCCUAGUGGUGAGAGUGUCUGACCAGGACCCAGGAGAGACCGGGGUUCAGAUCCCCCACUCAUAGGCCA